ensembl:lncRNA
GUGGGGAAAUUAACAAGAUGGCACCAGUCAGGCUCUCUCACCCCACGCUCUCAUGCCCUCUAGCCCCACGUUACUGUAAACAAUGACAUUGCACGGUUAUGUAACAGUUGAGAUCGCUUAUAGCUCUGCGCACAUGCAUCACGAGGUACUCACUUGGCAACGGGCUACUUUCCUUCCCUGCCAUCAUGAACAGAAACGUCCUGGUCAGAGACUGCUGCCCCAGCCUGGGUUUCAGAAUGGAGAUGCCAUGAAGCAGAGCAGCUGGCCACAUGGAGAGAGAAACAAGUCAGAUAGAAACUGUUGCUACGUCAGCAGCUUCCAUGGAGGCUCAAGGGUAUGGGAAGGAGAAUACUGUAAGAUGAGUCUGGAGCCUCAGGCUGUGCCAGAAGACAGGGAAAGUCUCUAAGAAUGAAGGCCACAUGUGAGAAGAGACAGGGUGAAGGCUGCCGGGGCCUUCAUGUGAACAUCGCAAUGGAUAGUGAAAGGGACAAAUUAAAACCCAUGGAAGGAAAAAAGAACUGUUGCGUCCCUGCUUAUGCUAAGAAGAGAGGCAGUUGCAGAAAACAGAGAUGACGACACCAAGACUGCCGACUGGUCUAGUCUGUGACUCACCCAGGACCAGGCCCCAGGCCAGUGCUCGGGACUCCCCAGGCUGGGCAGAAGAGCAUGAGGGGUCUCCACCCACCUGCUCCUUGGUAUGCCUCUGCCCUGGCAGGGCAGCCCCUUCUUCUGGCCGGCUCUUGACUCUCCUGGGUGCAAUGCCCUUGGAGCAACCCUCAGAGGUUCCUAUCACUCUCCUACCUCCUGCCCCCCUCGCCAAAAACUUAUUAAGCAGUCGCCUGUCACCUCUACCUUAAUAAAUAA